AAAGUUUUCUCUCCAAAGAUUGCCCUCUUGACCACUUUUAGAUAUGUAUACCAUGUUUCUGAUAAAAUGUUGUAGUGGAAUGGGAAACUUUCUCUCCAAAGUUAGUCCUCUCUAUCAAUGACAUUUAGAUUGAUGCUUCCCUCUUUGGAGUAUAGGUUCGUGUGUCAUUGUUGACUAUUGUAGACUAAAGAAUAGGGGUUUCCCAUUCAUAUUGAUCACCAUUUAUAGUAGACCUCUUUUACUCUUCUGCCUUUAGAUUAGCGACUGCAUACUCUCUUUCUCACUCGAUAACCCAAAAUCAGAUCAAGACAUGGAUCGCAUUGCGUUGUUACAUGACACUUCAGUUGCACUUCACAGUCUGAAACUGCAAGGGAAAGCUAUACCUGCUUUGCUUGAUUUGCAAGAGAAAUCGGAAUGCAAGUUGCUCCCAACAAAAUUAAUAAUCACACGUUUAUGAAGGAGUUAAAAGCCUCUCAUGUUAACAGCUUAGUGAGAAAUGUUUUAUGUAACAAGAGUCAAAAUUUUACAUAGCUUUUAGUUUUGCUUCUGUUUUUU